CACGUCAAUGAUCUUAUAGCUUACAUCGUUGCGCGUGUGACAUCAUCGUCCUAUCGAUCGCUUUUUACAUAAACGGAUACAUUUAGCGCUCGCUGACUUGUUUUGUUGUUGAAAUUAACAAUUCGCGGUUUAGUGGAGCUGAACUCGUGGAGGAUUGAGCACACUUCAGCAAACGAGGUCAAUAAAGCGGCCCGCAGACAGCCGAACCCAGUGGCUCGUGUUCUAACGAAGUAAGCAAUUAAAAAGGAUUUGAUAAAAGCAACAACUGCUCUGUUUAUGACAGAGGGGAGGGAAGAACACAAGGGGAACGUAGAAGUGAAGGUUCACUGUGCAAUAGUGACUGCAGUGGACACAGAGCGCGCUCGCGCUGGCUGACCACUGCUGCUGCAGCAGUACGCGCGCGCGGGGAUCAUUCCAAUAGAAAUGCGUGAGAUCUGAUGAACGAGUGCGGUAAGUGAAUCGCAUUCUUACAGUCGGAGAACGACGCCUAAAAUAUCCGUAUCUAUACGUGAGAGCAACAAUAACGGCGCUUAAACUAUUUCAUGCCAUUUCUUGGAGCGCCUUUAACAAUUGCAAGUUUAUAGCAAAUGGUUAUAAAACAAGUUUAACUCGUCUAAUAUAUACGUGAAAAUAAAAAGCUAAUUAUUACAUUUAUAUGUAUUUUUAAUCAUUCCUUUUAUUAACGUUUUCGGGCGCUUUAAUAAAAAAUAACAUGUGUGAUGCGUUUGAAUGUGACGCGCAGUAGUUUACUCUUUACUGUUAAUUCAUUUAAUUCACAAAGAGAUUCACCGUUAUAAUUAUAUGCGUCAGUAAAACAUCUAACAGCUCAUUCUCUCACGACAGCAAACUUUACUGGAUAAAAGACACGCUUCUGCUAUGAAAUUAAAUGAAACUUUUUAUACGGGUUUAUUUUAAAAUGGCAUACAUUGGUUAUCCAUCUUAAUACAUAAAUUUAAUUAGUUGCUCUUUUUUAAAGAAGUAACAAUCAAGCUGCCGAUAAAGCUCACAUAAUGAAAUACUUCAUAGAUAAUUUAUAAAGCUGAAAUAAGUGUCUCCUGCAUUAUCAGGCAGUAAAAUUUCAUCUGCUGGUGUCCAAUUGAGGUCAUGUGAGGGUUAAAGCUCUCCGUGUCUCUGUCCAGCUGCGGCUGAGAAUCUCUUUCAAUGUCACUAUAAUUUAGCUACUACAAUUUUACACUCAUAUCUCCAAACCCAUUUCUGUAUAUUUGGUAAAAUGUAAAAGAUCAUUCAGAGAUUUAUUUUAUCCUUAAGCCUCAGAAAUGUUUUUUUUGGUGAAACAACUUUCUCAGAUAUUCAUCAUGUGAACCAAACCGUUUAACCAAAAUCUAAUUUACCAAAGUGAAUAAACUGUUGAAUAAAUAAUAUAAAUCUUUAACUAAAUUUGACGCAAUACAAUUGAUAUUAUUAAAAUUGAUGAAAGAUUUGCACAGAACAACAGGUCAUGGUCAUUCGCGUAUAACAGCUUUUACAUUUGUAAUAAACAAUCAACCUAAUGUUUACUUUCCCUUUAUUUUUUUUAAAAUCCAUAACAUUUUAAAAUGUUUAAGGGUAUUAACCACCUUAAUUCGCAUAUAUAUUUCGUAAUUAUUAUUAUCCUCAGAGUUUUAUAUUCAAAGUGUUAGUAAUAAUUUAUCUGUUUAAUGCAACUGCUUAACUUCAACUCUCUGUGACGAACAUUUGCGUCCCUAAAAAAAUCUCAAGAUGUUUGUAAAACUUUUGUAAGUAAAUGUAAAUGAUCGUGUGUGAAAGGCGCAUUUUCCUUCAUGGUGCUCAGUAACAUUAUUCUCACGGGACGCUAUGUGUGUGUGUGUGUGGGGGGGGGGGGAUUUAGCGUUUGCGGCUCUUGAGCGACACCUGCCGGAUCCAUCUUUACUGCAUCAGUGCUAAAGUUAAGCAAACUGCUUUAAAAUAAACACUUCUAUCUAAAAGCUACACAAAAACUAUUUAUAAUUGAUUAAAUUACAUCUACAAUAACAGCAAAUUGACGGCCGGGUGAUGAUCUCCGAAGUGUGAAGUAAAUAAAAUAAGCUUUUUAGAAUAGCAAAUAGUUUUGCACACCAGACACUUUAUUUUUUAUUAUCAUUUUGCUUGAAUUUAUUCGUUUUGUUUCGUAAAAUAAAAUGUAGCCUACAAAAUAUAUAUCUGUUAGGCAGUGUACCACAUUCUGUGUUCUAUAAUCUGUCUGUUUUAUUGUGGAUAUUACAAUGAAUAUUAAAGAAUAAACAAAUAUAUAUUUUUAUAAUUAGCCUAUUGUUUUAAAAUAGCUGUGAACUUUAAAACGUUUCUACAUAUUAUUAAAAAUGUAUCGUCCAUUACAAAAAUGUGCAAACCCGUAGCUGUAUAAUAACACAUACAUAUUUAAAUUAUAAUAUUAACAUAUAGGCACAAACUCAAAUUUUCGUAUUUUGUAUUUUAGUCUUCAUUAAAAAUUAAAGAAGAAAGCAAAAACGAGACUACUGCACGUGCCACUGAACAUAUCAGAAUAUUAGUGUAAUUCGAUGUGAUCAGUAAACCCGCAUUCAGACAUUGAGGCAGAUAAUCGACUGUGAUCGGCUCAAUUCUCUAUAGGAUAUUAAACCCAUCCUGGAGCACUGAACCCCGACCAGCUCUUAUUUACUUUCAUUUUAAUAUGUCAAGUAUCACAUAUCUCUAAAACAUUUUGAAUGCUUGUGUGUCUUCGAUAAACAAGAUAUUUAUGUAGACGCAAGAAGGAACAUGAUAUGGGUGGAUUUGAGCAAUAAUAACGGGUUAUUUUUUUGAAGGCUAUGUCGCUCUUCUCGAGAGAGUUAAGACGAUAAAAGUUCUGACUUCUGUACAUUACACGCUUUAUAUUAAUUGAACUGAAUUGUUAAAUAAAGUCUUGCGUCAUUAUGGAACACGCUUUAACAAAUAUACUCUAAUUCUUCUUAUACAAUAACCGACAUGUUAAUUACUAUAUGUGUGCUAUUUAUGUAACCAUCUUACAUACAUUGUUUUCACAAGCAUUUAUAUAUUUUCUAUAUGUCUUCAAAGCUGUCUUAAAUUAUCCAGCCACGUGUUAAAAAUGUAAAAAAUAGUUGUGAAGAAAUCCGUUAACUGCAUAAACGUGUAAAGCUUUGCAUUAGUGUGCUCGUGACGCGUGACAUUUCGUGACUAUGUGUCACUGCAGUAAUGAAACACGAGACACUCCCAUAGACCUGACAUAUAAGCUCAACAGUUUUUACAUGUUUGAUUUCAUUUUUUUAAUCUUCCAUAGAGACAAUGACUUUAAUUGGAGAAAAUAACUUUUAUUAACCAUCUCAAGCGCAGUUUACAGAUCCAGACCGCAGAAGAGGAAUACAAACGUCCUAGACGAGAUCCUUUUUUAUAUGCAUCCUCAGGAAUCUUAUGCCCACACUCUGUCCUGUUUAAACAAAUAACCAACAGAAACAUAUGCUUUUCUAUGACUAUUCAAAUGAAUUGUGUAAAUCUACACAGCUGUGUGUUCAAAUAAACGCCUUUGCCAUCUUUGUUGUUGUUUUGCUUCUCUUACAUCUUCCCGUUUGACUGUAUCUCCCUUGUUUCUGGAGGUGUUUACCCGGGUAAUUACCGCACGCUGUCAAACAGUGGGACCGCUGAUUUAAAUGCGGAGUGAAGUAUCAAAGCUCCGGAUCCACGAACGAGACGCGGCGAGGAUGCGACAGCAGCGCGUGUGAUGUUGCUCUGCACGCGCAUGACCACGAUUUUUACAAGGAUUCCUGGUGGCAUCUUGCUUAUUGAUGCUUGAGAUUUUAAUGAAAGAUAAUCUGAUAUGGUCUUGAAAUGAUAAUAAGCAGGCCUAAUAGUAAUAUUUGUUGUAAAAUCAUCAUGAAUAGCUAAUUGUAAAAUAUUUGAAUGCAGGUUGUCAAGCUUAGGCAACUGUCAGGUUAUCUUUAUAUUGAAAUGUCGUUAAUUAAGAAGUUUUCAAUACAUUUUUUUCUAGAAAACCAGACAAAAAUGCUUAGGUAGAAUGUCAUUUUUUUUGUUGCUGUGCUAACGAUAUAUGGAGACCAGUCUCUUCUCAUUCUGAAUCUCAAAAGUCAAAGUGUUAUAAUUUUGAUUCAAGUCAAGUUUAACUCAAAUUGAGAACAGUACUAAAAGCUAAGCAGCAUUAAGUAAUAAUUAAGUCUAAAGUAGUUACUAGAAAACCUGCUGCAAAACUCUUCGAUUUUCUGGGUGUGCAAAUGUUUGAAGCUCACUCCAGUCUGGAGGGACAUGGGAAGUUUAACAUUAUGAACAUGCCUCACCCCUGCAGCUCGGAGGAACACUUCACGCAGGGAAAUAGCCAUGAAUUAUUGAGAACCAGCUUGCAUUUAAGCUUGAUAUUGAGAAUCAACUCAGAGAGCGGAUGAGGAAAAAACACACAUUCAUAUAUAAAUCUAUAUCAAAGUUGCGACAGUUGUUUUCACAGUGAAGUGAGUUUGGAUGAAUUCUGGCCUGUGACUGAACGUUUCACUGUCUGUCAGGGGCGGAUGGGAUACAAAUGCAAACUCUACAAAGCCAGUUCUUCAUUUCUGUGCUUGACUCAUUAUUAUUGAAGAGGUGAGCACUCACUGAGCUAAACUCAAAUGUGACGGAUUAGUUUUAAACAGAAUGCAGCUUUUAUCAGUCAUGUAGCCUACGUGUGUUUAUGUCCAACGAACAUGCUGCGACAGUUUAUUUUUUAUUUAUCAUAAGGUCAUUUUACUGGGCAAUGAUCAGAAACAUCAGAAAAAUUAAACACUUACUAUUAUAUCGAUGUUUCUCUUAUUACAGUCGAAAUGCCAACGAUCCGCCUUGGUUUAGUGAAUUUCUACAGUAAUUAAAAUAAUGUAUUCAAUACUAACAUCACUGAGACUACAAGAGCUUUCUUAAAGCUUACGUAACAGCUCGAUAUAGCGUUAACAAAUCUAACGGGAUGUGACGUCACAGCGGGUCAAUAUUUUGAAACCCUUCCUGUUAUAUCCACAGGGGGCGACAUCGGAUAUUUAUGCGCAAAGAGCGAUUUAAUAAGAAAAACUUUGACCUGUUCGCUGCGUAAAUCCUAUUGAACAUUAGAAUGAGUGUCUCCCAAGUGAGAGUAUGUUGACAUAAAAUGUACAGAUCCAAGAAAACUCUAACGGCUGAUAUUGAAGCACAAAUCACUGCAAGAAUGGAUGUAGGGUUAAAAUUAGGGAUGCACAGAUAGGAUUUCUUUGGGCCGAUACCAUUUUUAUAUGAUUUUUAUAUUUUUAUACGAUUUGAACAAACAACUCUUUGCCGAUACCGAUAUGGGUCAAUUGCAUACAGUACUAUGCAAUACUAGCUAGUUUUUCUGCAUUCAAUUUAUUUAACUGAACAUGAAUUGGAUCCAUUUAAGAUUUCAAGAGAGGCACAACUGUAAAUGUGGCUAAAUGAAAAUGUAAGUUAAGAUAAAAAUCAAUAAGACAACAUGACAAUCAUCAAAUGUUAUUUUUGCUAUGCAAUAUUUAUUUUAUUAAAAACCUUAACUCAAAUUUGACCUAAAAUGGAUAAUUUCCUUUAUAUAUUUAAAUAAAGUCUGUGCUGGUGCAAUUUACAUUAAUUAUUUUGCUCAGGACAUGCAGUUAAUUAAUAAAAAAGAGGACCUAUGAAAUUCUCUGAAAUUUCUUUUUUCGUGGUGUACAACUAUGUUUAUUAGAACCAGUAUUACAUCUUUUGUUUUUUUCUUUUGCUGUUUUAAGUCUACUUACAUUUAAUUACUUGUUUUGUAAAUCUUUAGUAGCAGUUUUGUUAUGCGGUUAACUGGACUUUUAUUUUGGCGAUGGACUUUAAUUUUGACGUCUUGCCGCAAAGUUUGACAGCAGCUUCACUCAAAUGAAGCUGUAAAAUGCGCCUCAGGUAAACUCUUUUAGAGCAGCGCUGAUUCAGUCUAUGUGUUCGCCUCCACCAGAUGCUAAAAAGUCCACUACAGUAAGUUACACAAAACCACACCACUCAUUCACACGCAGAACUAGCAGAUUGCGUUUUUAAACAGCAGCUGAAUAAUUAUUAGCGCUAUAUAUAGCACAAUUUGAAUUUCGUAAGCUGUUCAGCGGUACUUUCGGUCGUGUUUGAUACUUUCCAUCUGUGUUUUCCGCUUCACGGAAAUCAAAGGGCCCUAAUAAACCUAAAACAUGCUAUUGCCGAUAUGCCGAUGGUGUUUAAUUAAUCCGAUAUAGCCGAUACAUAGGUGCAUUCCUAGUUAAAAUUCAUGGUGAGAUGGCUGAAAAAAAAGCUUAAUAGGACAAAGUAUGUUUAGUGCUGCUAAUAUUGUAGAAAACGCCUAGAUAUGGUCAACCUCAGCUGUCUAAGAGCGGUCUUCAGUGCCAGUCUUAUUGAGAUGGUAAAACAUGCAAAACGCUGGCGGGUGUUUGCGCUUCCACAUUAAGCACGCUUGGCGGAAAACAACAUUUAAGUAACAAACCGAUUUUAAUAUCCAGUAAUGCAGACUAAAAUGGUGAAAACAUAUCAUUUUCAUGUUAAAUGUCAGUUUUACGAUACAAAAACAUUCAGAGACCUUCACUAGUUCACGCUAAACCACAUGGCCUUGCCUCGGGUGUAUUGUUAGGUUGUGGUUAGCCUUUGAAAACAACAAUAUUAGUUCCAAAUAUUCCAAAUGUAAUACCUACAACUCGUUCCUUCAUUUUGUUUCUACAUUAUGUGUAUUUGAGCUAUUUUAACUAAAAGUUUCUACAACUUUUGUAAUUUGAUGUCUAUGCUGUAGCUACACAGGGGUUUCAUAAAAAAAUGGAAUUUAUAUGAUCACUUGCUGACUCUUAUGUCAUUCCAAAUGCUCUUUCAUAAAACAUAGAUUGUAUUCCAAUCUGGUAAUAUCUAUUGACCAUGUGUUUACUUUCUUCACUGACACUUACGAGCAUGAAAAGACAAGACAUGGUCUGAGCUGUUGUUAUCUAAUUUGCACUCCAAAUAUCUUCAAAUGCACAUGUGUAGAUCAAGGAAUGUAAAAGAAAAUGUUUUUGGACCUUGGUAUUUCUAAAUCCUGCGUACGGCCCUGACUGCAACAGGACAGACGAUGCAUUGAAUUAAUCAAUUAAAUAAUAGCCUACAGUAAACAUUACAUAAGAAAUAAGGAAUGAAGAAAAGAUUAAAUGUAAAGUGGAGUUGUAUUUUGAUAUUUGAGAUUGUACACAAUUACAAUGUUCAUUUAGGCCACAACUGUCAAAUUCCGUUAUGCAUUAUGUGUUUCAGUAGGCUACUUACAGUAUUCUUUUGAUUCACUCUUAAAGUUUAUCAUUCACUGCUUAUGUUAAGUGUAUACUAUAACCAGCACUCGUUUUGGAUUUUCCUCAAAAUAGUUGCACUAACAAUCUUACCUGACCUUUAAAAAACUUUAGUCAAAUCUCUAUGCAAUGUAAGGCUUCCUAAUCCCCACACAAUAAUGAGGUAAUUGUGAAUUGGUGUACUAUAAUUGUGCGAGUAAACUAAAAGUCUAUUAGCCAUUUAAAUCCCAUACUCUGCGGUGCACUGCACAGAAUUCACAAGAGAUUCUAAUGUCUCUGAGGACUUUUAAUAUGUAUGAGAAACAUCAAAGAGCUAUAUCCUGACAUGUGGCGUCUCCAAGUCAACAAGCUUAUUAUCACAUAUACUGUAUGCAAAUAUGUUUCACAAUGUUCUUGCCUUCUGUUUGCAGCAGACCCAUGGCAAAUACAGAUCAUACGUCUGAGUUAGAAACUGAUAAUAAUUACAGGAACUACUCGUGUUUGAGUUCCUCAUUAUUUGAUAUUGCAUGUGUAUCUUUUUUUGAAUCCCAUGAAUGGAUCUAAACUUGAUGAUGUGAAUGACAUUCAGAGGGUCGUGAGACGUUUGUUUUUGAAACCUGAUUGCAUUAUUUUCAUUUAAGGGCACAUCUCUUUAUAAUGAAGAGCUCAUCUCAAACAAAUAUUAAAUGCUUAACAUUUGGAGUCGAUUCUAAAAGUUAUUUGCCCAUGUUACAGAUCUGUUUGUCAAAAGUCUCCUUAGUGAUGUUUAUGGUGAAUUAAUACAUUUCUUUGAUCAUCAUAAACGUGUCUAAAAAUAAUGUAGUAAGAGGAGAAUUUACUGUGAUUGGUUCAUUUAUUACAGAUUGAAGAUGAUUCUAGCGCAGUUAUUCCUUUGUAUGUGUUUUUUAAAUAUACAAAACUAAAAAAACUGAAUGGACUGUCAGAGUUUGUCUUGAGGAGAGGAUGUCAUCAUAGAUUCUGGUAAUUGAAUUCUUCCAGCAUCUUCAUUUCUAUAAGAAGCAAAUUUGUGCACUAUUGUCAUUAUGAUUUUUUCUAGCAUUUAGGGUGCAAAUUCAAAUCCUGAGUGAGAUUUCUGAAUCAUUCAAACUGUAUCAUCAACCAAUUGAGGCCACGUCAUAAACAUGUUUCUACAGUUCAGAGGAGAGAUUUGAUUCAUUGUGAACAUCACUCGCUUUGAAACGCAGAACACAAGAUGGGACUGUUGUGAAUGCAUGUCGCACUUAUCAGAAUCCCUGUUCAUUGACCAGCACUCCCAGCUGAGUGUCCGGCGUGAAACAGAAGUGUGUUUUCAUGACAGUGUGUACUGUAGGCCGCGGCAGUUUGUCAACCGGCAGGCGUGCGCGUGUGUAGAUGAGAGUAUCUAUCAUCACGUCCAGCAGAAAUGAUGGAAUUGUCACGAAGCCGUCGCCUUCAUCCUUUUGUUCCCCGCUGCAGUCAGAACAGAGCCGGGUCUCUGUGAAUCUUGUAUUCUCCUUUAAUAGUCACUGGUAGUUAAUUAUUAAAGCCUCCUGCCUCCAUUUCCCUGCUGCAUCCCGUUUUUAUGUCAUCUCCAAAAAACAUCCAGGCAUUCCUUUGUACUUUCCAUCUCCUCCCGCUAUGACCACGAAAAAAAAGAAUCCCUCCCCUCGAAUUCCAGACACUCUCCUCGGGAAGCUGAUGGCGAAUCCACCGGCACGGCGCCCCGCGUGUCAGCACUCAUCCGGCGUCAUGCGAAUUACUGUACAUCAUUAGCCGUGUCGGGAACGACGCCUCUCGCAGGCCACGCGCGGUCCUGCAGACGCCUGCGAGGAGAGCCGCAGAAGAAAACAAAGAACUUUUCUCUCGGUCCCUCUCCUCCAGACCAUCAUCUCCUCUGGAUUUAUGAAUAAAAUAGUACACGCUCAGAAUAGGAUGACGGCAGUGCAGUAACUGUCAAAUGCCGAGAUGAAAUAAUAAAUUCAGGUGCCUUUUUCUGCUCGGUUGAAGGAAACUUUGUUCUUUCACAGGCUGGGUUUUCUUUUUUGUUUUAGUUGUCAGUGGAUGAUUUUAAAAUAUUUUUCUCUUACUUCUGCAAGUUUUUUCACGACUCCUUCAAGGAGCUCAAAAGUUCUAACUGUAUAUUCUGCUUCUUUUAAAGGUUUGAGAGAAUGGUUCUGUGUGAAGGAAACCCCGAGCGCUUCGUUCAUCUAAUGCAGAACAUUCAUCGAAUUUAUGUCCUUAAAAUGUAAUAAAACCGACACUGAACAUCAUUAUAGCUCACGUCAGUUUAUUAGAAUCUUUGAUUGAAGUGCGAAAUGUCUUUUGAUGGCCGAUUGUGUUGAAGAAUUGUGCAGAGGCCAUUUUCAGUGUGUGUGAAACCCACAUCAGUCAUUUACAACAGAACGAAAUCCUUGAUCUUGAAUAGUCUCUUUGCUGCUCAACAUUGUUCAUGAGUUAUCUCACAUUAUUUGUUGUGAAUGUGGAGUAACUGGACAAAGCAUCAUUGUUUUAUCAUCGGAUGGUUUUGUAAUGUGAUUGUCUGAGGCUGUUCAUUCAAGUAACCAUUGAAAAACACACAAAUGUCAAGAUUGAAAAAAACUAU